rnacentral:sRNA from 1 species
GGAUAUCAAAUCUAAUUAGUUGAUUUUAAUUGGUUACUUUUUUAGAAAUUAAUAAUGUAUUUCGUUUUUUAAUUAAAUUUAAUUAAUUAAAUUAGUAUUUGACUUUUUAAUUUUUAAAGAGAUGAAUUAAUUUACUUUUAAAAUUUUAUUUCUAAUGGCAUACCUAUGUAAUUACUUACAAAAAAUAAGGUUAUAUUUAAAAUGUACUUCCCAAAUAAUAUAGUAGGAUUAAAUGAUUUCUUAAUCUGUGUGUAUUCUCCUAAAACAUCAUCUAAAUAAAAACGGAGGGAGUAUUACAUAAUUCUGUUCCU